rnacentral:misc_RNA from 1 species
CCACAAAAAAAAAAAAAAAAAGUUUUGGGUUAGAUUGCUAAAAUUUACAAAAGUUUGUAUUUUAUUGUAUUGAGGCAUUUUUCUCCUGCUGCGAUGAAGAUCAUUGCAUGGUGAACGAAAAGGGUUAAGUUGGAUGUAUUAGAAGUUUUAGGGUCCAAACUGGGCCUAUUCAACUAAUUUACAUCCUUUGGGGUUAAAAAAAAAGAAAAAACUCACCAACUAAUUCACACUGAGUUGUCAAUGAAAUACGUCAUAAUCAUUGGUUAAAUUGUGAAUUGGUAAGCAUCUUGAACAUGCUGUUGUUAUGGCACAAUAUUUUCAUUUUUGUAAAGCUCUUGAAGAAAAAAAUUUCUUUUUUAUGCCAUCUCUGAUAUUCAUCCUUCACUUAAACAGAGGAAAAAGUGAUGCAUCGUUGUUAUGGCGUCUUAACCAUUAGCAGGAUAAAAACUUUGCUAAUUAAGUUGUACUAAGUCUUC